rnacentral:rRNA from 1 species
UACGUAGGGAGGGAGCGUUGUCCGGAUUCAUUGGGCGUAAAGAGCUCGUAGGCGGCUUGGCAAGUCGGGUGUGAAAACUCCAGGCUCAACCUGGAGACGCCACCCGAUACUGCCAUGGCUAGAGUCCGGUAGGGGACCACGGAAUUCCUGGUGUAGCGGUGAAAUGCGCAGAUAUCAGGAGGAACACCGGUGGCGAAGGCGGUGGUCUGGGCCGGAACUGACGCUGAGGAGCGAAAGCGUGGGGAGCGAACAGG